rnacentral:lncRNA from 1 species
GAAACCAAAAAAAUAACAUUAAUAAAGUGAAUAAAAAUGUAUAACACAUCCAGUACAAAAGGCAUCUGUACAAUUAGGAAAGAUACGAACCAAGAAAUCAAACGAUGACACUACUAAAGUGAGAGAGGAAUUAAAGCUACAAGGAAUUACCAUUUGAAGGUCCAGUUAUUACCCCAAUUGUCCUAGAAAGUUCAUCAAUUAAUAAUGUGAGCUAAUUGAUUUACUCUUCUUACUUCAAUAUUUAUCAAAUUAUCUAGGAGAUUACUAAGGUGAUCUGCUCACUCAAAAUCACGUCACAACAACUGAGGCUUAAGUCCUUAUGAGCAUUAGGCGGAACAAAUCGGUGCAGAAUGACAUUACAACCCCAAAAUCCUCUAACUCUGAAGAAAUAUCUUGAACAUCUGGGCACAACGUCAAAUUGUCACAGAAAUUAAGAUUUAAAGAAUCAUCCUGUGGAGUCUGUGUUUUAAAACAAUUUGUCCUUUUGUCAUGAAGGAAAACACCAUUUUAGAUUUAAGGAGGAACAAGAAGGGCCAAAGGAAUUAAAAACGCUUUUCACGGCAUUUAAAUAAUCGAGACCAUCCGAAGAUUUCCCUCCUUUGUGAAUGAUUUUAGGGACAAAUAGAAGGUAUAGAUUGAUUUCUAUCCAUCUACGGCUUCCAUUCAUCUAGCAAAUCGCUCAAGAAUACAUAAAUAAGGUGCAAAUUCGGAGGGAAUAUUCUCGUUUUGUCAGAAAUCAGUUAUGAUUAGGACAAUGUGGAGAGAUGGGAUCCGUGUGUGAGUAAACUCGCCUGAGUUUCAGGCAAGUUGAGGUUGGCUCAGAGGAGGGAGACGAUAAACAAUACGCGAGGGGGUAGUUUCUGGUCUUUAGG